rnacentral:tRNA from 1 species
GAAAUAUGUUGAACAAGUGAAAGCUGCUAACUUAUCACUUUAGCGGUUAAAAUCCGUUUAUAUUUCU